rnacentral:tRNA from 1 species
UCCCCAUUCGUCCAACGGCAGGACAAGAGACUCUGAAUCUCUGGAUGCUGGUCCGAAUCCAGCGUGGGGAGCGA